CCCUGCCAUUUGUACACACCGCUUGUCGCUCCCACCGAUUAAGUGAUCCGGUGAAGUAUUUGGACCCCCGUGCGUCCAGUUCCUGGAUGCGUUUGUGGGAAGUUUUGUGAACCUUACCACUUAGUGGA
rnacentral:rRNA from 1 species